UUGACUUGACCUUCAUGACUCGGCAGGACUUGACUUUAUAACAACUCUAAUUAUUAUUAUAAAUCAUUACGACAUAAUUUGGUAAACAAAACGCAAGCCACUGAACCAGCGGCAGAAGUGAUCCGAGUCUGCGCAGCUGACACUGCACGAGCGCAGGAACACAGCGCGCCAAAUACAGGGAGCAAGUGAAUCUCGCGAUGUUUGGAUUAACACUUCAUAACUAUGCAUUUGCAAAGCCAGGACAUCACCACUUCAUAAAGGAAAGAACUUGAAGAUAUGUCAUGAUAAUAUGUAUGAUAUCUGCUUGUCUCCUCCUCUUGUGGAUCUGAUGUCAUAAACCAGAACAGCCACAGUAGCCACGCCCACCAGAGCAGAGACGACCAAUCGGAUCACAGCUUCAGUAAAACCACAGCAAUAGAUGUGGACUUCUGGUGAAAAACCAAUGGUGUGUUUGGUGAGUCAGUAUCAGUGAAGGAGGGAGAGCCGGUCACUCUAAACACUGAUCUUACUGAAAUACAGGCAAAUGAUGUGUUAGAGUGGAGGUUUGGAGCUGGACAGGAUCGCAUAGCAAGAAUCAAUAAAGCAGCUGGUGUGACCAAAACAUAUGAUGAAGUUCUUGGUGGGCAUUUUAAAGACUGAAACUGGAUGACAAGACUGGAUCUCUGACCAUCAUAAACUCCAGAACCACAGAUUCUGGAGAUUAUGAAGUCACCACCACCAUCGCAGACUUUAAGAAAACAUUCACAGUCGUUGUUUCAGAUUCAGGUCUGUCUCCAGGUGCUAUAGCAGGAAUAGUUGUUAGUGUACUGCUGGUGCUAGCUGGAGCUGGAGCUGGUGUGGUUUACUAUAAGACAAAAAGACAAGUGUUAUAAGCUUCUGUGACAGAUGACGACCGUUUCUGACUGCAGUUGCUAUGACCAAGGGGAGACAUGCAUGCCUUUGAUGAGUGAAGACACGCAGCUUCAGAAUGCAAAGAAUAUACCAUCUUCUAAGAUUACUCAAAAUCAUAUUUCUCUUCAUGUGAAGGGAGUUCACACUGAUCUGCCGGCUAACUCAUCGUUAUUUGACCCUCUAAUGGAAAUCUAAUCAAAAUAUCACAUUUCAUACUUGUUUCUCAAUUCUCAAUUACUUGCUAAUCAAAAUACUUGAUGAGUUGGUGUAUGUAUAGAUUAUUCAAUGUAUUCUUAAUGUCAUGUCUCUCUGUGACACUUUAACACUCUGUUCACUUCUAGAACAUGCUAGAAACACGCAAGUGUGUGUCUAAUUUGAGAACUGUCCAUUGUCAUUGGCUGACACUGUGUGAAUGCAGUGCUUUUAUUGCAGGGAUUUUUGGUACAUUAUUUUAGUUUUUUUACUUAAUUUUAAUUAUAUUGCUUUUUUGAUUGUUUAUUUUAAAAUUGCUUUGUUUUUUGUUAUACUACGUAAUAGCACUGAUUUUGUACCCAUCUAUGUUUUGUAUUAACUGAAGUGAAUCCCAUCUGUGUUUCUGAUCAGUUGUGAAUGUAAAUAUUUAUCUGAUGAUUUUGACUGUUGUGGGACCUUAUCGAGUUCUGAUUGUUCUUUGACCAAAGAUUUAUCUUGAAUAUAUAUAUAUAUAUUUUUUGUACAUGUACUGUUGUGAGACUUCACGCUAUCACAGAAUAAAACAAUAAUAAUUAUUAUUAUUAUAGUAAUAAUACAAUAUUCAUCAUCUAUUAUCUAGUUUAUGUUCAGUCUGUAAUUUUUUUUUUUGUUUUUUUGU